AUACGUAGGUGACAAGCGUUAUCCGGAUUUACUGGGCGUAAAGGGCGUGUAGGCGGUCUUGCAAGUCAGAAGUGAAAUUCCUGAGCUCAACUCGGGCGCUGCUUCUGAAACUGCAGGACUUGAGUGCUGGAGGGGAUAGCGGAAUUCCUAGUGGAGCGGUAAAAUGCGCAGAUAUUAGGAAGAACACCGGUGGGGAAGGCGGCUAUCGGGACAGUAACUGACGCUGAGGCGCGAAAGCGUGGGGAGCAAACAGGAUUAUAUCCCCUGGUAGUCCACGCCGUAAACGAUGAAUACUAGGUGUAGGGGGUAUCGACUCCCUCUGUGCCGCAGUUAACACAAUAAGUAUUCCGCCUGGGGAGUACGGCCGCAAGGUUGAAACUCAAAUGAAUUGACGGGG
rnacentral:rRNA from 1 species